GAUGAACGCUGGCGGCGUGCCUAAUACAUGCAAGUCGAGCGAACAGACGAGGAGCUUGCUCCUCUGACGUUAGCGGCGGACGGGUGAGUAACACGUGGUUAACCUACCUAUAAGACUGGGAUAACUUCGGGAAACCGGAGCUAAUACCGGAUAAUAUAUUGAACCGCAUGGUUCAAUAGUGAAAGACGGUUUUGCUGUCACUUAUAGAUGGAUCCGCGCCGCAUUAGCUAGUUGGUAAGGUAACGGCUUACCAAGGCAACGAUGCGUAGCCGACCUGAGAGGGUGAUCGGCCACACUGGAACUGAGACACGGUCCAGACUCCUACGGGAGGCAGCAGUAGGGAAUCUUCCGCAAAGGGCGAAAGCUUGACGGAGCAACGCCGCGUGAGUGAUGAAGGUCUUCGGAUCGUAAAACUCUGUUAUUAGGGAAGAACAAAUGUGUAAGUAACUAUGCACGUCUUGACGGUACCUAAUCAGAAAGCCACGGCUAACUACGUG
rnacentral:rRNA from 1 species